rfam:Lepisosteus oculatus linkage group LG4, whole genome shotgun sequence.
GCCAGCAGCCAUAUCACCCUGCAACCCACUGAAGCUCAGCGGGUGUGAGCCUGGUCAGUACCUGGAUGGGAGACCUCCUGGGAAAAACUAAGGUUGCUGUUGGAA